rnacentral:rRNA from 1 species
CAAGAGCGUAUGUAAAAGUUGUUGCAGUUAAAAAGCUCGUAGUUGAACCUUGGGUUUGGUUGGCCGGUCCGCUUUUUUGCGAGUACUGGAUUCAACCGAGCCUUUCCUUCUGGCUAACCAGUCGUUUCGGCGGCUGGCGAACCAGGAUUUUUACUUUGAGAAAAUUAGAGUGUUCAAAGCAGGCAUUAGCUUGAAUAUAUUAGCAUGGAAUAAUAGAAUAGGACGUUAUGGUUCUAUUUUGUUGGUUUCUAGGACCAUCGUAAUGAUUAAUAGGGACGGUCGGGUGCAUCAGUAUUCAGUUGUCAGAGGUGAAAUUCUUGGAUUUACUGAAGACUAACUACUGCGAAAGCAUUUGCCAAGGACGUUUUCAUUAA